AACGAACGCUGGCGGCAUGCCUAACACAUGCAAGUCGAACGAGACCUUCGGGGCUAGUGGCGCACGGGUGAGUAACGCGUGGGAACCUGCCCUUAGGUUCGGAAUAACUCCCCGAAAGGGGUGCUAAUACCGGAUAAUGUCUUCGGACCAAAGAUUUAUCGCCUUUGGAUGGGCCCGCGUUGGAUUAGCUAGUUGGUAGGGUAAAAGCCUACCAAGGCGACGAUCCAUAGCUGGUCUGAGAGGAUGAUCAGCCACACUGGGACUGAGACACGGCCCAGACUCCUACGGGAGGCAGCAGUGGGGAAUAUUGGACAAUGGGCGAAAGCCUGAUCCAGCAAUGCCGCGUGAGUGAUGAAGGCCUUAGGGUUGUAAAGCUCUUUUACCCGGGAUGAUAAUGACAGUACCGGGAGAAUAAGCUCCGGCUAACUCCGUG
rnacentral:rRNA from 1 species